UACAGAGGUCCCGAGCGUUGUUCGGAUUCAUUGGGCGUAAAGGGUGCGUAGGCGGCCUGCUAAGUUUGAUGUGAAAGCCCGGGGCUCAACCCUGGAAUUGCAUUGAAUACUGGCGGGCUAGAGUACUGGAGAGGAAACUGGAAUUUACGGUGUAGCAGUGAAAUGCGUAGAGAUCGUAAGGAAGACCAGUGGCGAAGGCGAGUUUCUGGACAGUUACUGACGCUGAGACGCGAAAGCGUGGGGAGCAAACAGG
rnacentral:rRNA from 1 species